rnacentral:rRNA from 1 species
AGAGAGAGACAUGCGCGCAUAUCAAUAAGCGGAGGAAAAGAAACUAACAAGGAUUCCCUUAGUAACGGCGAGUGAAGCGGGAAGAGCUCAAAUUUGAGAUCUUCAAGGUUUUACCUUGACGAAUUGUAGUUUAAAGAAGUGUUUUCUGCUGAAGUUUUGGUAAAAGUUCUUUGGAAUAGGACAUCAUAGAGGGUGAGAAUCCCGUAUUUGACCAUUAUUUUCAGCUUUGUGAUACACUUUCAAAGAGUCGGAUUGUUUGGGAAUGCAGUCCAAAAUGGGUGGUAAAUUUCAUCUAAAGCUAAAUAUUGGCGAGAGACCGAUAGCGAACAAGUACCGUGAGGGAAAGAUGAAAAGAACUUUGAAAAGAGAGUUAAACAGUACGUGAAAUUGUCAAAAGGGAAGCGUUUGACACCAGUGUUGUUUUCUCGAAAAUCAAUUAAAAAAGGCAGGAUUUUGUGUUGUAUUGACUUUAUCAGCUUUCUGCACUCUUUUCUUGUCUUUUUUAAUGCACUUUUCGUUUAACAAGUCAACAUCAAUUUCUUUUGUUGUAAAAGGGUCAUUGGAAGGUGGCUUUCUUUUCGGAGAAAGUGUUUAUAGCCUUUGGCCUCUGCAAUCGAAGAGACUGAGGUCUGCAGCGUAGACUCUUCGGGGUUAGAUACAUUUGUGCUAAGUUAUAGCUUUUUAUAGACAACUUGUUGACUAUAAUUAGUCUUGUAGCUUACUCGCUUAUGCUAUUUUACCUACGCUUAGGAUGUUGAGUCGUAGAGCACGCAG